rnacentral:rRNA from 1 species
CAAUAGCGUAUAUUAAAGUUGUUGCGGUUAAAAAGCUCGUAGUUGGAUUUCUGUUGAGGACGGCCGGUCCGCACUAUGUGCGUGUAUCUGGUUCGGCCUCGGCAUCCUCUCGAAAGCCGUUUCUGCGCUUGAUUGCGUGGUUCGGACUUCGGGACUUUUACUUUGAGGAAAUUAGAGUGCUCACGGCAGGCAAGCGCCUUGAAUAUAUUAGCAUGGAAUAAUAAUAUAGGAUCUUGGUCCUAUUUUGUUGGUUUCUAGGGCUAAGAUAAUGAUUAAUAGGGACAAUUGGGGGCAUUCGUAUUAACGCGUCAGAGGUGGAAUUCUUGGAUUGCGUUACGACGAACUACUGCGAAAGCAUUUGCCAAGGAUGUUUUCAUUGA